rnacentral:rRNA from 1 species
UACAGAGGGUGCAAGCGUUGUUCGGAAUUAUUGGGCGUAAAGCGCGUGUAGGCGGCGUGACAAGUCGGGUGUGAAAGCCCUCAGCUCAACUGAGGAAGUGCGCCCGAAACUGUCGUGCUUGAGUGCCGGAGAGGGUGGCGGAAUUCCCCAAGUAGAGGUGAAAUUCGUAGAUAUGGGGAGGAACACCGGUGGCGAAGGCGGCCACCUGGACGGCACUGACGCUGAGACGCGAAAGCGUGGGGAGCAAACAGG